rnacentral:rRNA from 1 species
AGUGAACGCUGGCGGUAGGCCUAACACAUGCAAGUCGAACGGCAGCACAGUAAGAGCUUGCUCUUACGGGUGGCGAGUGGCGGACGGGUGAGGAAUACAUCGGAAUCUACUUUUUCGUGGGGGAUAACGUAGGGAAACUUACGCUAAUACCGCAUACGACCUACGGGUGAAAGCAGGGGAUCUUCGGACCUUGCGCGAUUGAAUGAGCCGAUGUCGGAUUAGCUAGUUGGCGGGGUAAAGGCCCACCAAGGCGACGAUCCGUAGCUGGACUGAGAGGAUGAUCAGCCACACUGGAACUGAGCCACGGUCCAGACUCCUACGGGAGGCAGCAGUAGGGAAUAUUGGACAAUGGGCGCAAGCCUGACCCAGCCAUACCGCGUGGGUGAAGAAGGCCUUCGGGUUGUAAAGCCCUUUUGUUGGGAAAGAAAAGCAGCAUAAUAAUACCCCGCUGUUCUGACGGUACCCAAAGAAUAAGCACCGGCUAACUACGUG